rnacentral:lncRNA from 1 species
AGAAAGAAAUGAGAGAUAAAGGAAAAUUAUAUGGGUAGGGUGAGCUAUAAUCACGUGCUCAGAAUUGAAAUCAACGUGGGAUGAUAUCGAUCAGGUGGAAUUUUAGUAUGCUGACAUGGAGCCAGAUCUUCAUAUCUAAUGGUGUGAAUUUGAGGUACGCAGAGGUAUACAAUUAUGCUUCUAAACUCCGGAGUUAUGUUCUAAAAUAUCUGAUUUUGUAUCCUCUGAGCAUGUUGCUAUCUGUUGAAAUCCUGGUAUUUUGUUGGCAUGUCGUAUAUGUAUGAUGUUUAUUGUUUGAUGGCUAAAUGUAUGGAAUGGAACAGGAUACUGGUACUGAGUGGAUCCUCGCCAAUAGUCCACUAGUUUCUUCCUUCUAUCUUCUCUCCUUAAACACAACAACAAAACCUAAUAUAAAACAACCAUCAUUACUUCCUUUUUUUUCCUUUUCCUUUCGCUUUCUUUCUUUUUCCCUUUUUCUUUCUUUUCUAUUUUCUCUUUCUUUUCUAUCUUUUCUUUCUGCCUCUCAUUACGUUUUAUUUGCCUUUUCCAUUCACCAAUUCCCUUCAGCCCUCCAACUUUUUAAGGUACUAUAUUACGUAAAUGUUCUUUUUAAUUUAACCCAAAAGUUACUAAUCUUUCAAUUAUAACCAAAACAUCCUCGUAAAGGAAUUUCGUCCUCGAAAUUUGAAAAAUCCUGUCUUGCCGAUACCGUAACGACCAUCAUUACAAACACCAAAUUAAAUAAGCCGAGAUCUAGGAGAAUGGAUGAUGCUGAUCACUAGUAAUGUAUCCGGAGACUGGUAUGUGUCUUUAUGAAAUAUUGAUUCGUUGUGCUCCUCUCUCUGUUGACACAUUUGUUGUUGAGCCAUCAUUGAUUCUUGAGUAUAUUCCCGUCGUAUUGCAUACUGCCCUGUUUAAAAUGAUUUUUCAGGAUGACGUGGGAGUUCGGGAGUAGUACGAGAUGGGUCGGGUUGAAAGACUUGAAGAUUUUGAUGAUCCUUUUGUAUUAAUUUCUAUUUGGAGACAUUGUAAAAUAAACCUUUGGAGACUAUUAAAUAUGUGAGAAAAUCGUGCUCUAUUGUAUUUGAGAAAAAAUACUGCGAAUUUUAGGUAAUUAAUUAACGGUCCGGGAGGGUUCGGGUUCGUCACCUUAGUUAUCCUUUUUCAACUAAAUUCAUUGGUAAUUACAUUUGUGUAAGAAUUUGUUUGAGAACAUGUGUGUAGGGAGAGUCCCACAUUUGAUACGUAAAAAAGAGUUGGCUUUAAUAUACCUUGAUGAACUCAUCACUAUAAAGGCUAGCCUUCUAAGUGGGUAUGAGUUUCAAAUCACAACAGUGUAAUAUUAGGCCAGAUGAUGUGGAUGCGGACCUAAUGCGAUUUCGCUCCAACUGGCUCGGCGCCUUACGUGGCCCACGUGGCGGACCAUUGAAGCGAACUCUCUCCCAACAAGUGGUAUAUGCCGAUGGUUAGCGAUCUAUGGGCGGCAACACCCCGAUAUUAUGGGCUUGCAAGAGACUCUCGAUGGAGCGAAAAAAAUCCAAGGUAACUCUCGAUGGAGCAAGGUGCUCACAGCAUGUGUAGCGUGCGGCAAAAUGGCUCUUGAUGGAGUAAUGAUGGAUGACUCUCGAUGAAGUGAGCGCGGUGAAGAAGCCCGGGUUUGGUUUUGGAACAUAAUAGAUCAAUGAUUAAGGGGGAGCUUGGAUGAUCAAAAUAAAUCAAAAAUUCAAGGGGGAGUAAGGCCAAUAUACCGUUCACACAAGAGGGGGAGAUUGUUGAGGACUUGUGUGAAGAAUAAGUCCCACAUCGAUUUAAAAUAAGAGUUGGCUCUUAAUAUACAAUUGGAUGGACUCACCACUUACAAGGGUUACCUUUUUAAAACUUUUUAAGUGGGUAUGAGUUCCAACGGUGUAUAAUUGGGGCCAAGACGAUUGUGGAUGCGACUAUGCGAUUUCUCUUUCUAAUGGAUCGGGCCUUACGUGCGCCCACGAGCCGGACCCUUAUCGCACUCAUUCCGCAACUUCUCCCCCUCAACACCAACUUCGUUCUUUUCAGCCCCAUCCGCGAGCUGAUUACAGAAACUUUCGAAUUUUGUUUGCCACUCAAAACCUGUUGUAACAAGAUGUGGCACUUGGUCUUUUGGUGUUAACAUGUUCAACCGAUUCUCUGGGCGAACUUUGUCUCCCUGAUAAAAUGAUAAUGCCCUCUACGUGUUUAGUUCUUGCAUGAAAAACUGGAUUCUCAGCCACACGAUGCCAAUUGGUUGUCGCAAUAACAAGGAAAUUGCAACAAUUUGUUGGCUGACGGUGAUAUGACACCCAGAAUCCUUCAACAAUCGUAUGAGCCAAAAUGAUCUCUUGUGCUGUAUUGCGUAGCUCGGUCACUCUGCUUCUAGGUUGUUGAAAAAGAAUACAAUGGCUUGCAUUUUUGCUGCAACCAAGCGAUUGCUCCCCAUCCAAGCAUAAAAAAAUACCGGUAGUUUAGCGUUGAGUAUCAUGAUCAC